rnacentral:rRNA from 1 species
GACGAACGCUGGCGGCGUGCUUAAUACAUGCAAGUCAACUGAACUUAGGAUAGCAAUAUUUUAAGGGAGGUGGCGCACGGGUGAGUAACACGUAGGUAAUCUGCCUUUAGGUCUGACAUAACCUACCGAAAGGUAGGCUAAAAUCAGAUGAUGCAGCGGCUCGACAUCGAGACAGUUGUUAAAUCUUCGGAGCCUAAAGAUGAGCCUGCGUCUGAUUAGGUAGUUGGCGGUGUAAUGGACCACCAAGCCUGCGAUCAGUAGCUGGUCUGAGAGGAUGAUCAGCCACACUGGAACUGAGACACGGUCCAGACUCCUACGGGAGGCAGCAGUAAGGAAUAUUGCUCAAUGGGAGAAAUCCUGAAGCAGCAACGCCGCGUGGAGGAUGAAAUACUUUUGUAUGUAAACUCCUGUAAGAAGGGAAAAUAUACAGUUAUUCUGUGUUGAUUGUACCUUCAGAGUAAGCCCCGGACUAACUACGUGCCAGCAGCC